AGUGAUUGUGUGUGUGUGAGUGUCUGAUAGUGAGUGAGCUUGUGUGUGCGUGUGCCUGUUAGUGAGUGAGCUUGUGUGUGUGUGUCAGUGAGUUUUGAGUGAGCAUGUGUGUGUCAGUAAGCUUGUCUGUAGUGAGCAUGUGUGUCAGUUAGCUUGUCUGUAGUAAGCAUGUGUGUCAGUGAGCUUGUAGUGAACGUGUGUGUGU